rnacentral:rRNA from 1 species
CCUACGGGAGGCUGCAGUAGGGAAUAUUGCUCAAUGGGGGAAAGCCUGAAGCAGCAACGCAGCGUGAAGGAUGAAGGUUUUCGGAUUGUAAACCCCUUUUUUUAGAGAAGAAAAUGACGGUAUCUAACGAAUAAGCACCGGCUAACUCCGUGCCAGCAGACGCUGUAAUACGGAGGAUGCAAGCGUUAAUCGGAAUCACUGGGCGUAAAGAGCGCGUAGGCGGGAUAGCAAGUCAGAUGUGAAAUUCUAUGGCUUAACCAUAGAACUGCAUUUGAAACUGUUAUUCUAGAGUAUGGGAGAGGUAGGUGGAAUUCUUGGUGUAGGGGUAAAAUCCGUAGAGAUCAAGAGGAAUACUCAUUGCGAAGGCGACCUGCUAGAACAUAACUGACGCUGAUGCGCGAAAGCGUGGGGAGCAAACAGGAUUAGAUACCCGAGUAGUC